UCGCCCUCGACCUGGCCGCCGCCUCUGCUCGACCGGACGCCGUCGUCGUCAACGCCCUUCUCCACGCGAACCCGAAGCCGCCAAGUUCUACGCUGCCAGGUCGCCUUCCCCGGACGCUUCCUCCACAGCAGCAUGGGAGCAGCUGAUCCUGCUCCUCGUACGCGUGCGCGACUCCAAGCACGUCGGCCGUUUUCCAUCCCCAGGGAUCGACGUCCGCCUCGCCGCCUUCAUCCAUCGCCCGGCAGCCGCCGCUCCAUCUUCCUUCGCCUCACUUCGUCUGGCUCGCUUGCAUCGCAACCGUCCCGCUAUCGCCGUCCCCGGCCCUCCUGAUCAUCGUCGACAGCACAGCCACGACGGCCGCUUCGCUUGCCACCGGUGACAGGCGCUACACCAUCUCCGUCCGCUCCAUGUACUCCAAGGCCACAGUUUUCGCUGCUUCAGUAUUCCAACCGCAACCAUCUGUGCACGAUCCAACCAGCAGCCCAAUGCUCGGCCCAGCUCGUCGGUCUCAGCCGGCGACAUCUCUGCAUGGUUCCACAGCUCAGCCACAAUAGCUGGCUUGUUUUCCG